UCAGAUUGAACGCUGGCGGCAGGCCUAACACAUGCAAGUCGAACGGUAACAGGAAGCAGCUUGCUGCUUCGCUGACGAGUGGCGGACGGGUGAGUAAUGUCUGGGAAACUGCCUGAUGGAGGGGGAUAACUACUGGAAACGGUAGCUAAUACCGCAUAACGUCGCAAGACCAAAGAGGGGGACCUUCGGGCCUCUUGCCAUCGGAUGUGCCCAGAUGGGAUUAGCUAGUAGGUGGGGUAACGGCUCACCUAGGCGACGAUCCCUAGCUGGUCUGAGAGGAUGACCAGCCACACUGGAACUGAGACACGGUCCAGACUCCUACGGGAGGCAGCAGUGGGGAAUAUUGCACAAUGGGCGCAAGCCUGAUGCAGCCAUGCCGCGUGUAUGAAGAAGGCCUUCGGGUUGUAAAGUACUUUCAGCGGGGAGGAAGGCGAUAAGGUUAAUAACCUUGUCGAUUGACGUACCCGCAGAAGAAGCACCG
rnacentral:rRNA from 1 species